GUACGCUGGCGGCACGCCUAACACAUGCAAGUCGAACGAAGUAGCAAUACUUAGUGGCAGACGGGUGAGUAACAUGUGGGUAUCUACCCUUUGGCCUGGAAUAACACGAGGAAACUUGUGCUAAUACCGGAUAAGUCUUUACGGAGAAAGCUUUAUGCACCAUUGGAUGAGCCCGCACUUGAUUAGUUUGUUGGUGGGGUAAUGGCCUACCAAGACUGUGAUCAAUAGCUGAUUUGAGAGGAUGAUCAGCCACAUUGGGACUGAGACACGGCCCAAACUCCUACGGGAGGCAGCAGUGGGGAAUCUUGCACAAUGGAGGAAACUCUGAUGCAGCGAUGCCGCGUGAGUGAAGAAGGCCCUUGGGUUGUAAAGCUCUUUCGUCGGGGAAGAAAAUGACUGUACCCGAAUAAGAAGGUCCGGC
rnacentral:rRNA from 1 species